GGAAUCAACACAGUAAAGGAGGAGACUAUAUGUAAAAGAAGAAAAACUACCACAACAAGAGGACAUAGUCUUAAAUUAGAGGGACAAAGGUUUAAAAAUAUCAGGAAGUAUUACUUUACCGAGAGGGUAGCCUUCCAGCUGAAGUGGUAGAAGUUAACACAGUAAAGGAGUUUAGGCAUAAGGCUAUCCUAACUAUAAGAUAAGGCCAG